rnacentral:rRNA from 1 species
AGGACGAACGCUGGCGGCGUGCUUAACACAUGCAAGUCGAGCGGUAAGGCCUUUCGGGGUACACGAGCGGCGAACGGGUGAGUAACACGUGGGUGAUCUGCCCUGCACUUCGGGAUAAGCCUGGGAAACUGGGUCUAAUACCGGAUAUGACCUCGGGUUGCAUGACUUGGGGUGGAAAGAUUUAUCGGUGCAGGAUGGGCCCGCGGCCUAUCAGCUUGUUGGUGGGGUAAUGGCCUACCAAGGCGACGACGGGUA